UGCUAGGUGGCUGAGCAAAGCGAAAGCCUUUUAAGCUUUUUACGAUUUAAUCUCUAGCCA
rnacentral:tRNA from 1 species